CCUACGGGAGGCAGCAGUGGGGAAUAUUGCACAAUGGGGGAAACCCUGAUGCAGCGACGCCGCGUGAGUGAGGAAGUAUUUCGGUAUGUAAAGCUCUAUCAGCAGGGAAGAAAAUGACGGUACCUGACUAAGAAGCCCCGGCUAACUACGUGCCAGCAGCCGCGGUAAUACGUAGGGGGCAAGCGUUAUCCGGAUUUACUGGGUGUAAAGGGAGCGUAGAGGGCUAAACAAGUCAGAAGGGAAAACGCAGGGCUCAACCUUGGGACUGCUUUUGAAACUGAGUAACUAGAGUGCAGGAGAGGUAAGCGGAAUUACUAGUGUAGCGGUGAAAUGCGUAGAUAUUAGGAGGAACACCAGUGGCGAAGGCGGCUUACUGGACUGUAACUGACGUUGAGGCUCGAGAGCGUGGGGAGCAAACAGGAUUAGAUACCCCAGUAGUC
rnacentral:rRNA from 1 species